rnacentral:rRNA from 1 species
CCUACGGGGUGCACCAGUGGGGAACAUUGGACAAUGGGCGAAAGCCUGAUCCAGCAAUGCCGCGUGUGUGAAGAAGGUCUUCGGAUUGUAAAGCACUUUCGACGGGGACGAUGAUGACGGUACCCGUAGAAGAAGCCCCGGCUAACUUCGUGCCAGCAGCCGCGGUAAUACGAAGGGGGCUAGCGUUGCUCGGAAUGACUGGGCGUAAAGGGCGCGUAGGCGGUUUAUGCAGUCAGAUGUGAAAUCCCCGGGCUUAACCUGGGAACUGCAUUUGAGACGCAUAGACUAGAGGUCGAGAGAGGGUUGUGGAAUUCCCAGCGUAGAGGUGAAAUUCGUAGAUAUUGGGAAGAACACCGGUGGCGAAGGCGGCAACCUGGCCCG